UACGGGGGGAGCAAGCGUUGUUCGGAUUUACUGGGCGUAAAGGGCGCGUAGGCGGCCACCGCAAGUCGAUUGUGAAAUCUCCGGGCUUAACCCGGAAAGGUCAACCGAUACUGCGGGGCUAGAGUGCAGAAGGGGCAACUGGAAUUCUCGGUGUAGCGGUGAAAUGCGUAGAUAUCUGGAGGAAUACCGGUGGCGAAGGCGGCAUCCUGGACCAUUACUGACGCUGAGGCGCGAAAGCUAGGGGAGCAAACGGG
rnacentral:rRNA from 1 species